UUUCUAAAUUUGUAAAAAUAUUUGAAUUGUGCAGGCAAACUGGACUCUGGAAUACUCCAAACUUAAAGCUAGAAUUGAACUUCUGCAGAGGAAUCAUAGCCACUAUAUGGGAGAAAAUCUUGACUCCAUGAGCCUGAAAGAUCUUCAAAUGUUGGAGCAACAGAUCGACACUUCUCUUAAAAACAUUCGAUCUAGAAAAAAUCAACAGUUGCAGGAAUCGAUCUCUGAGAUGCAGAAAAAGGUUGUCUUUUAAGCACUCGUAUUUUAAAUCUUAAAGUUAUUACUGCUUAUGAUAUAAAUAAUCGCCGUGCCUGGUGCUCUCAAAUUAGUCUGCUGCAAAAGUUUGUAGUGAUCACAAUAUACAUUCCUAUAAGAAUAAAACUUGCAUUUGUAACAUUAAUGAGGCUUAAUAGUGUCACUGCACAAGUUUCUGGCAUUCGAUUAGUACAUAUUAUAAUGAUAAUCACAUUAAGAAAUAAUUAUAUUUACUCUAAAUGUUCAACCAAGUAGAUAUUGUUCAAGUAAAUGGUGAAAAUGCACUUUUGGGCUGACCCUCUUACGGUUUGCUACGAUGGGUUUUUCCUUUCUGUUAAUGUAUAUACAAUGUAAAUGUUAGUUAGUUCCACAUUGGUUAGAAAGGAAAACAUUCAUCUGAAAUUAGACUAUAAAUAGGAUACCUCUCUUGUAAACAAAUCACACUAUUCAAUACAAUUCUCUUCUCUUUGUAUU